rnacentral:lncRNA from 10 species
CCCGGGAGGCGGAGCUUGCAAUGAGCUGAGAUGGCGCCACUGCACUCCAGCCUGGGCCACAGAGGGAGACUCCGUCUCAAAAAUAAAAAAAUUAAAAAAAAUUUUUAAAAAAGUUUUGUCAUCCAAUGACAACAAGUUUAAAAAUAUUUUAAGAGAAGUAUGAAUAAGUAAAUACUGUAUCAGAUUGAUUAUAAAUUAUAGAAAAGUUAAAAUAGGUCAGAUUUUUCAUUCUUCGUUUUCAUAGUUUGAGAUUCUUAGAUUAUUAAAAUAGAAAGGAACUGGUUUUCUAAAGGAACUGGAUUCAAAGUCACUUCUAUCUUAUGAACCCAUUGUAUACAUGACAUCUGAUGAAGAAGACCAAUAUGAAAAGCAGGGGAGAGUCUCUGGUUGAAUCAGAAAGCUCCUGGCCACCACAAAACUUGUAACUU